rnacentral:rRNA from 1 species
UAGCCUUGACAUAUAUUAGACCUCCGAAGAGAUACAGAGGUGCCUUCGGGAGCUUUUAUAC